AAUACGGAGGGUGCGAGCGUUAAUCGGAAUUACUGGGCGUAAAGGGUGCGUAGGCGGUUGCCUAAGUCAGAUGUGAAAUCCCCGGGCUUAACCUGGGAAUUGCAUUUGAAACUGGGCAACUAGAGUUUUGUAGAGGGAGGUAGAAUUUCAGGUGUAGCGGUGAAAUGCGUAGAGAUCUGAAGGAAUACCGGUGGCGAAGGCGGCCUCCUGGACAAAAACUGACGCUGAGGCACGAAAGCGUGGGUAGCAAACAGGAUUAGAUACCCUGGUAGUCCACGCCGUAAACGAUGUCUAUUAGGAGUCUGUGACCAUGAGUCGUGGGUUCCAUAGCUAACGCAAUAAAUAGACCGCCUGGGGAGUACGGCCGCAAGGUUAAAACUCAAAUGAAUUGACGGGGGCCCGCACAAGCGGUGGAGCAUGUGGUUUAAUUCGAUGCAACGCGAAGAACCUUACCUACUCUUGACAUCCAGAGAAUUUUAGUAGAGAUACUUUAGUGCCUUCGGGAGCUCUGAGACAGGUGCUGCAUGGCUGUCGUCAGCUCGUGUUGUGAAAUGUUGGGUUAAGUCCCGCAACGAGCGCAACCCUUAUCCUUAGUUGCCAUCAGUUCGGCUGGGAACUCUAAGGAGACUGCCGGUGAUAAACCGGAGGAAGGUGGGGACGACGUCAAGUCAUCAUGGCCCUUACGAGUAGGGCUACACACGUGCUACAAUGGGCAGUACAGAGGGCAGCGAACUCGCGAGAGUAAGCGAAUCCCUUAAAGCUGUUCGUAGUCCGGAUUGGAGUCUGCAACUCGACUCCAUGAAGUCGGAAUCGCUAGUAAUCGCGAAUCAGAAUGUCGCGGUGAAUACGUUCCCGGGCCUUGUACACACCGCCCGUCACACCAUGGGAGUGGGCUGCAAAAGAAGUGGGUAGUCUAACCUUCGGGAGGACGCUCACCACUUUGUGGUUCAUGACUGG
rnacentral:rRNA from 1 species